UGCGCAGGCGGCUUACUAAGUCAGUGGUGAAAUCUUGCGGCUUAACCGUAAAACUGCCAUUGAUACUGGUAGGCUUGAAUUCAGUUGAGGUUGGCGGAAUGUGUAAUGUAGCGGUGAAAUGCUUAGAUAUUACACAGAACACCGAUUGCGAAGGCAGUUAGCUAAACUGAUAUUGACGCUGAGGCACGAAAGCGUGGGGAGCGAACAGGAUUAGAUACCCUGGUAGUCC
rnacentral:rRNA from 1 species